UAUUUUCUUUGUAACAAACUGAUAUAAAUUUUAGACCGUACUGUGUCUUUAUGUAGUGUAGUGAUUCUGAAAGAAUUCUCUGUACAAGCCAUAUUAUUAAACAUGAAGUUUAAGAUUAGGUUUCUCAUUUGAAAUUCUUUCGAUAUGCUAAGGUUGCAACUUAGAGGUUAAUUAAAGGAAAGAUUGUCAGGUUGAUUAAGGGGUGCCUGGAUGGUCAGUGAAUUCAGUGUUCGACUCUUAAUUUUGGUUCAGGUCAUGAUCUCAGGGUUGUGAGAUUGUGGCCACAUCAGGCUCCAUGCUCAGCUGUGAGUCUGCUUGAGAUUCUCUCCUUCUUCCCCUCCCUGCAUGUGCAUUCUCUCUCCAAUAAAUAAAGAAAUUUUUUAAUGGUAUUAUUAAAAUAAUUCCCAGUUUUAUAUUUUGUGUUGGUAGUAACCCUGGUUUUAACUUUUCUUAGUUUCAGUUUCAAUUAUUUUCAACUUAUUUUCAGUUUUAGUAUACACAAGUUUUAACUUUGAAAAUAUUUAUAGAGACGCUUGGGUGGCUCAGUGGUUAAGCGUCUGCCUUCGGCUCAAGGCAUGAUCCUGGAGUCCCGGGAUCGAGUCCCACAUGGGGCUCCCUGCAUGGAGCCUGCUUCUCCCUCUGCCUGUCUCUGCCUCUCCCUCUCUCUCUGUCUCUGUGUUGCUCAUGAAUAAAUAAGUAAAUAAAAUCUUUUAAAAAAUAUUUAUAGUGUGCAGGUACUUGAAAAAAGUUCUUACAUUCCUUCUGGACAGUUCGGUGGUAUAAGUUAGAAUUUAAUAGGAAAAAACAUUUUUUAUAAAAUAUUUUGCAUUUAACUUGUAAUUAGAGCAUGUGAAGGUUAUUAAUAUAGUUGGAAAUAAACUUUGCUACCUGUAAUAAUUUUGAUAAUUUUGUUAAAUUAACACUUGGAAUAUAAGUAAAUUAGGUAUAUCAAGAACAGAAACCUUGGUUUUUCUACAGUAUCUGCCACUUAGCGAUUUUUAUUAAAAACUGAACAAGCAAAAAAAGCUUACCAAAGUAUUUAUUCAGGAUCAAUUACACAGAAUGACUGGUUAUAGAGGAAAUUUAUCAGCUGGUGACAAAAAGAAAAAAGAGAAUAUGAAAGUGGAUUACUGCUGUUCAUAUUAAUAAGCACUCAUUGUUGAAGGUAAAUGAUUGAAAUUCCUUACUUUAGCUUGAUUUUAUAAUGACCCUACUCACUUUUGUGGAAUUAAUCAGUUGCUAUGUGAAGUAUCACUUAAAUAGUAUGCAUCAUUUGAUAAUGAAACACUCCAGGAUUUGUAAUCCUUAUGCAGAAUUAUUCUCUUGUUCAUGAUGAUGGGCCUAGUUGCUAAGUCCCCCGUAAGUCAAUCUUCUUUGCCCCAUGGGACUUAGAACAAUUUUUUUGCCUAAUAAAAGUUUACUUUUAAAGGAUGGUAAGAACAAGACAUUCAGAAGAAACAGCAUUUAAAUUAGGUACCGUGAAUGUGAAGAGAUGAUAGAUAUUCAUCAACUAUUUAUUGACCCCUUUGUAUGUGGUGGGCACUGUGCUAGGUGCAAGGAUACAUUGAUAUAUAAAAACCACACAUGUACACCCUAACUUUAAUGAGCCAGUAUUGUUGGAGAGAUAGCCAGUUAGUUUUACAAGUUGUAAAACAAUGGCAACACAUGGAGAAAUAAGUAUGAAUCUGGGGUAUCAAGAUAAUGUAUAAUUGGAAAAAAAAUGAAAACCUUCCCUUAGGCAAUGAUGAUUAAGCUAAAAUCUUGGGGAUAAGUAAAAGUUAAGUAGGCAGAAAUAGGAGGGAGGACUAACCAGGCAGAGGGAACAGUGGAUACGUAGAAGGAAAUGAAAACAGGUUUAGCUGAAGUUGAGUAGUUCAUGAAAUUGAACAGGUUAAGUUGACAGCUGUCCAUACCUGACAUUCUAAGCUGUUUUCUUUGUCAGGGCUACAGUAUCAGAAAUGUGUUUUUAAUAUUAAAAGCUAAUAUAUACAAUUCUAGACCUAUACCCAACAGAUAGGGUUGUACAUAUGCCACAAGAGACAUGUGCAUAAUAACAUGAUUCAUAAUAGCCAAAAAUUGGAAAUAGCAUGUCCAUCAACAUAGAGUGGAUAAAUAGGUAUAAUCCAGUGGAAUGUUAUGCAGUGAAAAUGAAUGAAUGACUGGAGCCAUAAGUAAGAACAUGGAGAGCAUUAUGAGUGAAAGCAGAAGCCACAGAACUUCUGUAUUACUACAUUUAUAUGAAGUUCAAACACAGGCAAUAUUAAGCAAUAGUGUUUAGAGAUACUUAGGUACAAAGUCUUUUUAAAACAGCGUUAAUGAGGUAUAUACUGCAUGCCACAAAGUACGUCCAUCGUAAGUAUACAGUUUGAUAGUUUUUAGUAAGUUUGUAUAGUUGUACAACUGCUACCACAAUCCAAUUGGCAAAGUCAUUUUUAUAAAAAAUAAAGUGACCACCAUAAAAGAUUAGUGGUUACCCUUAAUGUGGAAGGAGGUGGUUUGUAUUUGGAAAGAGUCAUGAAAAGGAAUUCUUUCAUGGGUGUUUAGUUUUUAAUAUCACAUUAAGCUUAUGUUUUAAAAGUCUUUUCUGUAUGUGUGUUAUAAUGCAGUCCUAAAAUUUUUUUAAACUGUUUUAGACAGGUUAUACAUUUAACAUAGGUAAAUUAUCCCACCUUUUAAAAAAUUAUUAAUUUCCACUAUAAUGCCAGAUGCACUGGAACAGGGACAUUUUCUGACAUGUUCAUCAGUGUAUCCCCAGUACUUUGUGAAUGAAUACAUGAACUGAUUGCUGAAUCCUGAAUUCAAGUCCACAUCUAAUGAAUUUCAAAACCAGUAGCCAUAAUUAUUAGUCUUUAAGAGUGUUAAAGUUAGGCAAAACUUAGAGAUCACUUAAUGAGUAUAAUUAUUUCUCACUAUCCAGAUGAGGAAAUUAGACUUAAGAAAGGAUUGUCUAAAAUAACACUGUUGACCUACCAGUUAAGAGUUUGUCUCCAAACCCCGAAUCUAGUGUUUGUUUCCUUACAACAUAGAAUAAUAGCAGUGCUGCCAUUUAGCAACAUAGGAGUUGCUUUUUACCACAGUCCUUUAUAUAAAUAAGGGAAACAUCUUUGCUUUCCUUUUUAAUCUCUUCUACUUUUUAAAGCCCACUGUUAGUUUUAGGCUUUCAAGUACUAAACAUUAAUAUAGAAUAAUUAAGGCUCAGAGGGCUGUUGUCCUUUGAAUUGUCCUAGUAGUCAGUAAACAUUAGCUAAUAUAUUACCUAUUAAUAAUAAUACUGAAGUCAUUUAGAUAAUGAAACAGGAGAGUUUCCAGAAAUAUACCAAAUUACAUAUGGGAAAUUAGAAUAUGAUAAAGAUAGCUUAUCAAAUUGAUGUAAAAACGUGGAUUAUCAAGAUGCCUGGCUGGGUCAGUCAGAAGAGCAUGCAACUCUCUUGAUCUUGGGGUUGUGAGUUUGAGCCCCAUGUUGGGUGUAGAGAGUAUUAGAGAGAUGAAUUAUUAAAUAAGUGACAGUACUGCAUCAGAUAAGAACAUUCUUGGCUAUAAGAAGCAACCCUGUGAUCAAUGGCUUCACUAAACAGGAGUUUAUGUUUCUCACAUAGUAUGAAAUCCAAGAAUAUAUGAUCCAGGACUAAUACGGCAACUUAAUGUCAUCAAGGACUCAGGCUCAUCUUAUCUUUUUACUCUUCCAGUUUGGAUGGGUGGCUUUCGUUUUCAUUGUAUGAAGGUAGUAGCUGCUUCACCUCUAGGUAUUACAUCUAGAUUCCUAGCAGAAAGAAAGUUGAAAAAGAGACCAGAAGGACCAUGUCAGUUGCUCUUAUUUAAAAGUUAGGACAGAACUGAAAAAGAAAGAAAGGUGAAAAAGAGACCAGAAGGACCAUGUCAGUUGCUCUUAUUUAAAAGUUAGGACAGAACUGCAUCACUUGGCCACCCUUGCUCCAAGAGUCUGGGAAAGUACUUUAAGCUGGGCACAUUCUGCCCUAAACAAAGUCACAGUUCUGUUAGUAAGGGAGAAUGGGUGCCAGGUAGGUAACUAGCAGUGUCUUACAAAAGACACGGCAGGCCACUUGGAAAAAUAUAAAGCUGGAUCUGCACCUCACUUUGUAUGACAAGGUAAAUUACACUUACAUCAAAUAUUCCAAAAACAAGCCAGAAAAAACAGGAAUUAAUUUUUCAUAUACUCUUUGAGUAAGGAUUUCAAAACAUGGUAUAAAACACAAAAACUGAAAAGAAAGAUUAAGAAAAUUGACUACAUGUCAUUUAAAACAAUUCUGUAAGAGAAAGGAUGAACUACAAGUUGAGAAAUAUUUGUAAGACUUAGAUAGACAAUAGGCUAAUUUCCUUAAUAAAGAAUAUAGAGAUGCCUGGGUGGCUCAGCAGUUGAGCAUCUGCCUUCAGCUCAGGGCAUGAUACUGGAGUCCUGAGAUCAAGUCCCACAUCGGGCUCCCCACAGGGAGCCUGCUUCUCCCUCUGCCCAUGUCUGCCUCUCUCUCUCUGUCUCUCUCAUGAAUAAAUAAAAUCUUUUAAAAUAUAUAUAAAUCAGUAAUUUAUUUUUUUAAAUCAGUAAUUUAAAAUGGUAAAAGGAUAUAUGUGGGCAGUCAUGUAUUACGUGAUAUGUAAUAGUAAAAGCAUAUUUAUAAAUUUUUUUUUAAUUUUUAUUUAUUUAUGAUAGUCACAGAGAGAGAGAGAGAGAGAGGCAGAGACACAGGCAGAGGGAGAAGCAGGCUCCAUGCCCCGGGAGCCCGAUGCGGGACUCGAUCCCGGGUCUCCAGGAUCACGCCCUGGGCCAAAGGCAGGUGCUAAACCACUGCGCCACCCAGGGAUCCCCAUAUUUAUAAAUUGUUAAUUAAAAUGGGCAAGGUAUAUAAAUGAACAAUCCAAGAGGAAAGAAAUGAUUUUUUUUUAAAGACCAGUGAGUAUGUACAGAUGCACAAAUUCAUUUGUGAUUAAAUGCAGUUUAAACACGGACAAAUUGGCCCCUCAGAUUGCCAAACCUUGGAAAGGUUGGUAAUAUCCAGUAUUAUUUCAGAUUAUGAGCAGAUCUGAUUUAAGCGAUAGACAUGAGCAUGGCUGAUUCAGUUAUUAAAAUAUUGAGAUGCAUUCCUACCAUUGAUAAAUAGUAGUACUGUUAAUUACGUAAAUUCUGAUACAGAUUUGUUAGUUCUAUUGUGACAUGUAUUGGUAAUGGACCUUUUGUUGAUAAUGGCAUAGGAGAAACAUUGCAACAUCUGUUAGCUUGACCUGUGUCAUGUUAAAUAAUGUUGCUACAUUGUGCUUUACCUGUGAAACACUCCAUGCCCUAACAGUUGCUACUUCUAAGUAGUUUCAUUUUUAUUUGCUUUUACUUUUAGUGAAUUGUAGUUCUUAGAUGAAAAGUAAAUACAGUGUUUUAGUAUUUUAAAAUGGGAGAAUUUAUAACAAAAUAUGAGUAAUUGAUACCCCCAAACUGUUUGACAUCUGCUAUCAAUGCAGAACGUGCAUACCCUGUGACCCAGCAAUUCCAUAUGUACACCACCAUAAAUUCAGCACUGUGCAAUGGGAUUUCCUGCAAUGAUGGAAGUAGUCUGUAUUCUGUGUUGUCUGUAUAGCAGCUAUGUGGGCUUUGAAUAGUUGGAGUGGGAUUAAUGCAACUGAGAAUGACCGUUUUUUUUUUUUUUUUUUUUUUUUCUAAGUAAGCUCUAAGCCCAACAUGGAGCUUGAUCUCAUGACCCCUGGAUCAAGAGUUGCAUGCUCUACUGACUGAGCCAGCCAGGCACCCGUGAUUUUCAAUUUAAUUUCUUUUAAACUUAAGGAAUUGGUCAAAGCAGUGAGUGUUUAUAGCAGCACUUUUAAUAAUAUCCCAAACUGGAAACAACCCAAAUAGACAAAUCAUGGCACUCUUACACAAUAGGAUAUAUUAGAUUGAAAGAUCUAAAGCUACAUGUAAAAUUAUGGAUGAUCUCAAAAACCAAAUGCUUAGCAAAAAGAAGCCAGACACAAAAUAAUACACACUUUAUGGUUCUAUUUAUGUAAAAUACAAAAACAAGAUGUCAGUUACUCUUCUGUGGGAAGGAAAUAACUGAAAGGAUUUGGAAUUGGGGCAUCUAGGAUGCUGUUCUAUUAAUCUGGGUGCUAGUUACAUGGGUGUGUUCAGUUUGAAAAUAUAUCAAGCUGUACACUUGUAUCAUGCAUACUUUCUAUAAGGAUAUUAUAUUUGAAUUAAACCUUGUAAGAGGAAAGAGGAAAAAAACCCACCCAGAAUGAAGUAUCAGCAAAAUGUUGGUAAGUUUCUUAGCAUUCCUUUUAAAUGUCAUAAAUGUUCACGUUCUAAAACUGGAAAAAUAUGAUAACUCUAGCAUGGGACACUUCUUGAAACAUCCUGAAAUGUCUUUUGGUACUGUGCAAAAAUUAAUAUAAAAUAAAACCAGUGAUUUUCAUUUCUG
rnacentral:lncRNA from 1 species